rnacentral:rRNA from 1 species
CGAACGCUGGCGGCGUGCCUAAUACAUGCAAGUAGAACGCUGAAGAGAGGAGCUUGCUCUUCUUGGAUGAGUUGCGAACGGGUGAGUAACGCGUAGGUAACCUGCCUUGUAGCGGGGGAUAACUAUUGGAAACGAUAGCUAAUACCGCAUAACAAUGGAUGACACAUGUCAUUUAUUUGAAAGGGGCAAUUGCUCCACUACAAGAUGGACCUGCGUUGUAUUAGCUAGUAGGUGAGGUAACGGCUCACCUAGGCGACGAUACAUAGCCGACCUGAGAGGGUGAUCGGCCACACUGGGACUGAGACGCGGCCCAGACUCCUACGGGAGGCAGCAGUAGGGAAUCUUCGGCAAUGGGGGCAACCCUGACCGAGCAACGCCGCGUGAGUGAAGAAGGUUUUCGGAUCGUAAAGCUCUGUUGUAAGUCAAGAACGAGUGUGAGAGUGGAAAGUUCACACUGUGACGGUAGCUUACCAGAAAGGGACGGCUAACUACGUG